rnacentral:rRNA from 1 species
CCUACGGGAGGCAGCAGUAGGGAAUAUUGGGCAAUGGAGGCAACUCUGACCCAGCCAUGCCGCGUGAACGAAGAAGGCGCUAUGCGUCGUAAAGUUCUUUUAGAGGGGCGAAAACACUUGAUUCAUCAAGUACUGACGGUACCUUCGGAAUAAGCACCGGCUAACUCUGUGCCAGCAGCCGCGGUAAUACAGAGGGUGCAAGCGUUAUCCGGAAUCACUGGGUUUAAAGGGUGCGUAGGCGGGAUUAUAAGUCAAGAGGUGAAAUCUCGUCGCUUAACGACGGAAUUGCCUUUGAUACUGUUUUUCUUGAAAUUUGUUGAGGUUGGCGGAAUGAGACAUGUAGCGGUGAAAUGCUUAGAUAUGUCUUAGAACACCGAUUGCGAAGGCAGCUGACUGGACAAUAUUUGACGCUGAGGCACGAAAGCGUGGGGAUCAAACAGGAUUAGAUACCCUGGUAGUCCACGCCCUAAACGAUGUUUACUUGCUGUUGUUUUCGUUAGUAGUAGUGGUCGAGACGAAGACGAGUAAGUAAACCGAACCGUACGGGUAGGUACGACCGCCGAACGGGUAAGGUAAACGUACGUUAAAGGAAAGUUAGUUACGGCGUGAGACGNGCGACGGACGACGACGAGGGAGGAGG